AAUGUGAUAAAGAACACCAUCCUAGCCUUUUACCUCGUUGCAGCCGAGAAAGCAACAUGGGUCACCAGCAGCUCUACUGGAGCCAUCCGAGAAAAUUCGGCCAGCGUUCUCGCUCUUGCCGAGUCUGCUCAAACUGGCACGGUCUCAUCCGGAAAUACGGCCUCAAUAUGUGCCGCCAGUGUUUCCACCAGUAUGCGAAGGACAUCGGCUUCAUUAAAUUGGACUAACCGAACUUCCUCAGAUGGCUCAUCCAGCACAGCAACCUUAGGUGGAAAUAAUACUAGCUCUUUGUAUAUAAAAUAAAAGUUUUCAAAACUUCAAAAAAAAAAAAAAAGAA